AAGACAUUAACUUGACAACAUUUUUGAAUCUGCCGGUCUCUUUUUUACCAGGAGGCAGGGUAAGAAAAAAUCCAUGAUGGCCGCUUUUCAUUGUCCCCAAAUGAGUCAUGUAAUGGAGUGUGUGUCUCGUGUUGCAAGUUUAGUUAACAAUAAUUUAUGAAGCUAGCCGCGAUUACAAAAUAAAUUAGGGUAGUCGUUAAAACGCACUGUAGCCUAUACGUUGCGAAAUGAUAAUUGUCGGACAUAUUUUUCAGCCUAUAUCCGGAUACAUUGUGGUUUUUAUUUAUCGGUCGAAGUGCACUAGUGCAGUAAACAAAUUGAACUUCAACCGUCAUAGUUAGUUGCGUUUGAAUUCAACUGACCCAACUCCCAAGUAUUCGGCGAAUGGCUGGGUUCCUUUCUCAGCUGAAUCACGAAGCCAUUUGUACAGACAACAUUUUCUGCGAACAUUUGCUAAUUUGACUGAAUAAUCUGUCUUAAUUCUUUUCUAAUUUUGUUAUUAAUAGGGCAUUGCGUAUUUAUCCGUUGUACAUAGAAAAACUCGUCGGUAGAAGAAAUUUCGUCGAUGCCAGACCACAUUCUUUUUGGCUUGUGCUAGGGAUACUAGAAACACGAUUGAAAUUGAAACAUCGGCAUGGGCCAUGAAGCACCGACCGAUCGAUUAUAGCGCCCCUAGCGGCGUGUGUCGGUGGAAUAGCCAAGUAUGCAUUUUGAGCUCCGACAGGCUGUCGGUGCAAUAGAAUUUAGUCAAUUUACGGGAUGUUUCAGUUGUCCUAGAGGCUAGAUAUAAUUUUUUAUGUUUUUCCGUGUAAUUGGACUCACGAACUGUUUGUUGUCCUUGUUCGGCCAUCCCAUUAUGCGUCCUAAACGUGGUAAUCCAGUGAGUGACGUUGCUGACGUCGUGAAACUAACUUUAAGUUCAUUGAGGCCUGCUCUGUAACGAUGCAUCACCUAAUUAUCCAUCAUCCUUAUACUUUAUCUACAUUCACUGAUGUUGUUCUUCUAGACAAUAAUGUGUAGGUAUAAAGGAAAAGUCGCUUGAAAGGAUAUUCCUAAUAUUUGAAUGGUGGCGUCAUACUCAACUGAUGCUUGUAUAUAGGUAAAAGAAAUUCAAAUGAUUGUCAUUAUGAUAGCUUAGUAGGCCUACGAUGCAUGUACGCGAUGGCUCUGCAACAAAAAUGCAUAAAAUUCCCUGCCCUUACUGAAUGGAGGAAUUCAAUAUGUGGCAGAUGUUAUUUGGGAUUUCUCAAAAUUCUCCUGUUUAUACAUUAGGUUGCUCACCUUAUGCCUUCCUGGAUCUUGUUUCACCUCAAUAAUUAAGUUAUGAUCCUUAUUGAGUGGUACAUCCUUCUAGCUUUAGUGGGUAAAAGGAAAUGGUUUAGCUGUAAUGUUUUAAGCAAA